GACGAACGCUGGCGGCGUGCUUAACACAUGCAAGUCGAACGGAAAGGCCCUGCUUUUGUGGGGUGCUCGAGUGGCGAACGGGUGAGUAACACGUGAGUAGCCUGCCCUUGACUUUGGGAUAACUUCAGGAAACUGGGGCUAAUACCGGAUAGGAGCUCCUGCUGCAUGGUGGGGGUUGGAAAGUUUCGGCGGUUGGGGAUGGACUCGCGGCUUAUCAGCUUGUUGGUGGGGUAGUGGCUUACCAAGGCUUUGACGGGUAGCCGGCCUGGGAGGGUGACCGGCCACAUUGGGACUGCGAUACGGCCCAGACUCCUACGGGAGGCAGCAGUGGGGAAUAUUGCACAAUGGGCGGAAGCCUGAUGCAGCAACGCCGCGUGCGGGAUGACGGCCUUCGGGUUGUAAACCGCUUUCGCCUGUGACGAAGCGUGAGUGACGGUAAUGGGUAAAGAAGCACCGGCUAACUACGUG
rnacentral:rRNA from 1 species